rnacentral:rRNA from 1 species
GAUGAACGCUGGCGGCGUGCCUAAUACAUGCAAGUCGAGCGAACAGACGAGGAGUUUGCUCCUCUGACGUUAGCGGCGGACGGGUGAGUAACACGUGGAUAACCUACCUAUAAGACUGGGAUAACUUCGGGAAACCGGAGCUAAUACCGGAUAAUAUAUUGAACCGCAUGGUUCAAUAGUGAAAGACGGUUUUGCUGUCACUUAUAGAUGGAUCCGCGCCGCAUUAGCUAGUUGGUAAGGUAACGGCUUACCAAGGCGACGAUGCGUAGCCGACCUGAGAGGGUGAUCGGCCACACUGGAACUGAGACACGGUCCAGACCCCUACGGGAGGAAGCAGUGGGGAAUCUUCCGAAAGGGGCGAAAGCCUGAGGGGGCAACGCCGCGUGAGUGAUGAAGGUCUUCGGAUCGUAAAACUCUUUUAUUAGGGAAAAAAAAAUGGGUAAGUAACUAUGCACGUUUGGACGGUACCUAAGCAAAAAGCCACGGCUAACUACGG